UAGGCCGGGCCAGGAAAUGUGCUAU
rnacentral:piRNA from 1 species